UCCCUUCUCUUCUUGAGUGAAAGAUAUUUGCCUGCCCUGGUUUUUCACCUAUUUCAUCUCCAGAGACUUCAGCACCGCAACUCCUUGGUUGAAAGAUCCAUCUUUCUCAGCUUGCAUGGGAUCUGUUCUCUUGUGUCUUGUCUAGUGAUGGAUGCCAGUGACAGCUUCUGUCCUUGGUUAUAUCUUCCAAAGUUCAUUGAACCUCAUUCUGUUCUUCCCUUCCUGUUGAGAGUCCAGUGGGGCUUUACUAAGAACUGUGCAAGAGGAUUGAGGAAAAUCUUGAUGAACUUCUGUUCACUUGCGUGCUUCUGUUAGCUAAGGUUUAUUGUCAUCCUGGUGUCAAGUCUUGGCAGAUAUAUCAAGGAUUGAAAGCAAAGAAAGAUGAGUGACUACUUGGUAGAUACAGUGGUCCUAGAGGACAGUGGGGAAGGUUUCAUGCCUGGAGUCCAUUCUGUGCUUCUCCUGUAAAGAAAUGGAAGACUUCAAUCUCCAGCCAACCAACACUUCUCAGGUGGACAGUCAGAGGACAGCCAGAAGUGAAUCACUACGAGAAAACAGAUAAGCCUUUCCAAAACAUGCUUGAACCUGUAUGCUACUCCUUGGCGGCAGUUGAUGAUUUAAGCAAGAGUGUCUCUGGGAGCACAUGAUUACUUACAGAAAAUGCAUGCCAGUCAACUUGUUUUCCAUAGGUUUUCAUCAGGCUCUGAAUCAAUGGAAGACUCCUGUAAUAAGAGGUGUCAUCCACGCCAAGUCCACUUCUCUCAUCCAGGUGACAUCAUCCAGGCUGACAAAGUAAAACAAUCAAGGCUAGAAGACAAGAAAUAAUUUUGAAAGCUGAAAGGAAAAUCAAAACGUACAUGUUCUCCAAGAGGAAGACAAAGCAGGUUUUCCAGCUCACUGAUAAUGCUGGGCAUAUUUCAUAUCAAAUUUUGUCAAAAGUUCUCGAGGCUCAUCUUGAGCUCUGACAGACAUUUAUCUACCAAAGGAAUUAAGUCACAAAAAGGAACACAAGACGGGGAUUUAGAUUAUUAAAAGCUAUGCAAUUUUAAAGAUUUUGUGGUGAGUGGAAAUAAAAUACAAAUGACUUGGUUUUCCAGGGCCGUGUAUCUUGUGAGGUUAUUUACACCUAUACAAAAUGGGUGAAAAAUUCUGCCAGAUCAGAAUAGUAAUAUUUUCUACUGAUUCUGCAAAUGUGUAAAGGACCACAAAAGGUACAGACAAUUGCACAGAGCAUCAACUCCAAACUUUUAGACUGGCAUCUUCAAAUGGGCCUAAAGGAGUUAAGCACUAGAGCUGGUUAGACAAUGUGUUUUUUCCCAUUGAAAAUUUUGACUCUUCAUCAAAAACCUGAAAACUUCUUGGUUUUCAGGCGAAAACAUUGCUGACUGCUUCCAUUUCGGGGUGUUUAAGGAAUGUUUAGUUUUCCACCUAAAUUUAGACAGAAAACAUUUCAAUAGCGCUAUUAGGCAUCCACUUCCCAUUGCAUUUCAAUAGAAGCUGUGUGCCUAAUUCCCUUAGACGCCUUCAAAAAUCCAAGCCCAAGAGCCUAUGAAAAAGCAUUCUGUUUUGAUGUGCUUGUGUCAUUACUUGCCUUAUUGCUGUUCGCAAGCAGAGACAGGAGUGUACAAGUCUCCCUAGGGCAGAACCAUAAUAGAGAUAUCUCUUGGGCAAGCAUCCUUUGGAAGACUCCAUGGUAAAAAAGCUUGUUUCUCCUUCACUCACUGCUCUACAGCUGCUUUGGGCACUAGCCUGCUGUACUCCAGGAGCUGAACUGCCAGCUCUGAGGUAUACGCAAGUAUGAAAAUGUCAGCUAAAUAAAACAAUGCCAUUUAAUUGAUUGAAAAGCAAUUAGAUACAUGGGAAUAAGAUAAAAUAAUGACCCACUCAUUUCACCCGCCCCCGCUUUUAAAAUCAAAGUAAACUGUGUCAGUAAGUAAUUCAUAAAAUGGGUACAUACUUCCAGGCUUAGGUUUUAAGGAGGCUAGCUUUGCAGUUCAAGCAUUAUCUUGAGCUCCAUUUAAACACUCCCCUUUUUGUACGUAUACUAUACAUAUGAGCUAAAGCAGAGUUUGCAUUUGUUACAUAGCUCUACUUCUCUAUUUUGUUGCUUUUAAAGGUUGAAUUUUUGCCUUCCAUUCCUCAUAAACUGGAGUGCCAAAUGGCAUAAUCUAAAGUCUUCUUUGGGCAUGUGAAAGUGCUACAGGCUGAGCCUCUCCCACCAGACUUUGAUUAUCUGCAUUCCACUCCCCUGGAAAUUGGGAGCUAUAACCCACUCCACAGACAACAAUAUUUCCAGUAAGUGCUAGAAAUAAGCAGUUACUAGAUAGCAUUGAUAAAUGGCUCCCUUUAGGGAAGGGAUGUGCAUCAUUUAACAGGCGAUGCUUAUGCAGGGUAAAUGAGGUCUUACCAAGCACUCCUCCUCGUGUAUGGACAGAGCAUAAAGAACAAGUUUUAUAUACCUGAAUGUCCUUUGGAUUUAUAUUGAAAAGAAUGUAACACACCAAUCUGAAUGUGAAAUCAUGCUGGCACUCUGAAAGUUUCUUGCGCUUCUGGCAAGUAAGGUUGUAGGUUGCAAGCAUGGAUGGAGAAAGAGGUUGUGCAUUGUCAGCCUUAUUUUUAUAAGGUAUUAUUUAUUAUUUGUAUGCAGAUGUAUGUUGUUUAAUGCGUAGAUCAAUAAAACACGGUCCCUAAGUUACAAUCAGAGGAGGGCCCAAAUUUCAGGGUUCAGAACUACAUCUGGAUCCAGAUUUCCCCAAAGCUCCAGGAUAUGAAGUUUUACCAUGUAAGGGGUCACCACUAAGUUCAAAUAAAGAUGUAGACCUGAACUUCCCCAAAGUCCUGAGGUGUUUGGAUCUGGGGUUUGGUUUUUCAUCUAUCACGACUUACAAUCUAAAUUAGAGAAGAAAACCCAACAAAUAUGACAACAGAUCAUGGUGGGUUAGAGAAGCAGGUUAGAGGGAGACCACAGUAAACGGUGGGAUGAGACACUGCUCUUGGAAUACCUGCCCAAAACUGCACUACAGGUCCUAAUUCCAGAGCACUGCAAAUCUCCUCAGGCAGUCACUUCCUUUACUAAAAAGACUGGUAUACAAAAGAGACCAGUUCCUUUUUCCCUCCCUUUUCUUAAUGUAUCAUCUCUUCUCUGGGUAUCCCAGAGCUAAUGGGAUUUCACAAUAUCACAUCCAAUGUAAAACAGUCACUUCUGCAAAGCAUCCACGACUUUGCCAUACAUAGAGGAAAUGAGGGCAUACUCUUUGUGUAUGUGGGAGGAGUUUACAUAAGCAGCACUUCCAGCAGCUGAAAUGAAUGGGAAUUCUGAACUCUUUGGGAUUGGCCCUUCUCCAUUUAAAAGAAGAGAUGGACCCAAUCUGAAACUCUGGAUCCAAUCACCCCUGUGAAUUCUGAUGAAAUUCAGAUCCAGAUCUAAAUCCUCUCUGUAAUGGGACAAGUAAUAUAGUCAAGAAACUUAUGUAUUUUGGAAGCUUAGGUAUGGAUUUGGAGGGAAUUAAAACGUUAUGAUCCAGUCCAUCUCCAGUGAAAUGAUGACAACCUAUAUGAGAAUGUGAUUCAAAACACUUUCAUUAUUAAUUUGUCUACAACAUAAUUUACCUUUUUUCUUUUCUAAUAAAACCACAAAUGGUUUGUUGUGCUUUCAUCUUUAUUAGCACAUAUAUUGAGACCCAGCAUGUUGAUUAAAUGGGUUGUUUUGACAUAAUUUCAUGUGUAAUUCAAUAAAUAGUUUUCUGCCUACAGGAUGGUGGAGAGUCUAAGGCUUAAUGGGGUAUGGAUGCACCAAAAGGAUGGGUGUCCCUGAUUAUCUCAUCCUCCCAGUCUAGUAUCUCACCCAUAACACUCCUCUCUUCAGAUUUUCUGAAUUGUUGUCUUUCUCCCACUCCUGCUUCCUUUGAAGUUUCUCCCAAGUGAAGUAGCCCAUUAUAAACCCAGUUUACCCUAGCAUAUACUGCACCACCAUCAGCUGUUCUGCCUUUUGCUCACUGAUGAGGUCUGGCACAAGGCCAAUGUCCUGUUUAUUCAUUGUUAUUAAAAAUCCCAUGACAUUUUUGGCCAGAAGAGGGAUGAGGUCUUAGUGUUGUGGGCAAAUUCCAACACAGACAAUUUUGCACUUCUUACCUAAUUCCUCCAGCAAUUUUGA